rnacentral:rRNA from 1 species
AUUGAACGCUGGCGGCAGGCCUAACCCAUGCAAGUCGAACGAGUGGCGGACGGGUGAGUAAUGUAUGGGAAACUGCCUGAUGGAGUGGUAACACUACGGCAAACGGUAGCUAAUACCGCAUACCAUCAGGUGACCACAGAUGGGAUUAGCUAGUGGGUGGGGUAACGGCUCACCAAGGCGACGAUCCCUACCUGGUCUGAGAGGAUGACCAGCCACACUGGAACUGAGACACGGUCCAGACUCCUACGGGAGGCAGAAGGGGGGAAUAUUGCACAAUGGGCGCAAGCCGGAUGCAGCCAUGCCGCGGGUAUGAAGAAGGCCUUCGGGUUGGAAAGUACUUUCAGCGGGGAGGCGUUACCCGCAGAAGAAGCACCGGCUAACUCCGUGCCAGCAGCCGCGGUAAUAC